GUUUGGGGUCAUGGUUGCUCCUAGUUGGAGUGUGUGCGAAUUCCCGAGUGAGAAUUUCCCCCAAUGAUGAUUGGGUUUACGAGUGUAAGCGAGAGACGUUGUACGUUGUUGAGACAGAUUUAGGCGGUAACUCCGUCGAGGAGUUUGGCUGGGAUUCACGAACGGAGUAUUCGUGUGAAUUCAUUGCAAGGACGAAUUGGUAUUGGUCGAAGUAAAGUGGUCUCUAGGAGA
rnacentral:lncRNA from 1 species